UUUCUUUUUUUAAUUUUCAUAAAGUCUUUUUCUUGACCAAAGAAAUUACAGAUUUUUUAAGAUAGUUUCAGAUAUAUUAUUAUGAAUGAGAUGACAAUAUUAUGAUCCUUGUUCCUUAGUUUUACUUUUCUUAUAAGGCAAUAUUAUGACAAAUAUUUAUUUCUGGUUUGUAGAGUAUUUGGCCAAUGAGAAAGACUGUUUUUGUAGUCUUUCUAAAUUUCUACAUAUAAACCAAUCCUCAUAGAUGUAGCCAUGCAUCAGAUAAAACCAUAUAUUAGGGGUAUAAUAUGUAUACUUUUCUUUGAAUGACUAAUAUCUACUCAAAGUUUUGCUGCUAAUAAAUACAUUGGCAUUGAUCAUCUAUUUUUCUUAUAUUUUUCUAUCUAUAUGUUCUUAGAGCAGAAAACCACAUCACAUAGGGACUGGUGUUGCCUUCAUUGGAAUCCUUCUCGACUUUGCUCUUCAGUCUUAUGAUGUCUUUCGCUCUUUGGUCUUUCAAUUGUGCUUUUGGCGAACAGCACCAACUCCCAUUGGGGAGUCUCUUGACGGCUUGUGGAGUUUCCUUUCUUCUUCUCUUUACCAAUUGGGAUUAUUCAAUAAGGCACAACAAACAUGCAAUCCAAGGUUGAAUGUCAGUGUUUACAGAGUUCAUCAUUUAAUUAUAUCAGCAUCUCACAAGCUCUCAUGUUCCUGGGUGACUUCAAACUAUACAGGUCCUUACAUGAAGAUUUGUACCAAAUCCAUGUUCCUUGUUCAGCUAGUUGGCACAAUUAUUGGCCAAGUUUCUACUUUUCCAUGUCAUAUAUGGCGGUUACUUUCAACCAUUGAUCAUGUCAUCAACACAGAACUUGGUAAUGAUGUUUUCUACAAUGCCUCAAUUACAAGUUUGAGUUUUGAAUAAUCUUGACUCUAAAAUUAGUUGGAAGUUUGUUGACAGUUGGAAAAAACAUCAAGACUGCAGCUUGGUUUCAACUCGAAGUCUUACUACUCUGUGCAUAAAAGAAUGUACUGUUAAUUCCCAAGUGCAAGGAAGAACACAGGGAAAGAUUGGCAUAUGAUUCAAUUCAACACAUAGCUAAAAAAAACUAACCGAAUAAAGUCAUGUCUCUCUUAGACAGCAGGAACACAGCAUUGUUUAUUAUACAGCCAAUGAGAC